rnacentral:rRNA from 1 species
GGAAGCUCAUAGUCCGUCAGGACGAGGCAGCAGUAGAGAAUAUUGUGCAAUGUACGGCAGUAUGACACAGAGAGCACACGCCCUCUUGGCCUGUCCAACUAAGUGCCAGCAGACGCGGUUAGACUUAGGGGCCAAGCCUUUAUGAGCAAAGGGGCGUAAAGGGUGUGUAGGCCGACUGCCCCACCCCCCCCCAAGGUGGUAAAUGGAAUUUUUCUGUAGCGGUAGAAUGUGCGGAUAGAAAAUAGAACCCCAAAAGCUGAAGCAAUUUACCGCGGGGCGGGAGGGGGGGCCCCCUGGGGCGCCCCCCCGGGCUACGGGCUGAAACACGAGGGUGUGGGUAACAAACAGGAUUAGAGACCCUGGUAGUCCACACUGUAAACGAUGGAGAAAAUGCGAAUGCAGCCCCGAAAGGCAGCAAUCUCCCGCCUGAGUAGUACGAUCGCAAGAUUAAAAUUCAAAAAAUUUGGCUGUUCACCGUUUCGAUUAGAGGAGCGUGUAGUUUAAUUCGAUAAACCGCGAGAUACCUUACCCAAACUUGAAUCCUUGAGGAUUCCAAGGAAUCCUUAUGGACCGGUAUUGCAUGGCCGUCGUCAGUUCGUGUAUGAAACCUUAAACGGACCCAACCCGAGGAUUGGCCGCGGAUGAAGUCAGGUCUUAUGGUCCCAAUGUUUGGGGAUAAUAUGCGCUACAUUUUCUUAUACAAUGGGAAACCUGGGAGGUGAAACCCAAAAGUGAGAGUUCGGUAGGCUAUUGGAAGAUGGCCGAAAGUUGAAUUUAAUAGUAAUCGGAAAGUAUAGCGUUCCGGUGAAAUGGUCUAGGUGUUAGCACAAAUCGCCCGUCACCUUAACUUAGGAUGAUGGUUCGGACGCCGCCGCGCCCCCCCGGGUCCCGGCGGUUACGGGCCCUACGAAGUUAAGCAA